ensembl:processed_transcript
GCUCUUCCCACCCCCUGGUGGAGCCUCCUUCCCGUUCCCCACGUAUGGCAGCCCCGUGGCUGGCGGGCCUGCUCCCGUGCAAGUGGAGCACAGGCCUCUGCCCAAGGACUUCAUGAUGGAGUCGGUGCUGGUGACCCUGUUCUGUUGCCUGCUCACGGGGAUGAUUGCCAUUGUCUACUCCCAUGAGACUCGAGCAGCCCUGGGCCGGGGUGACCUGGCCCAGGCAGAGGAAGCCUCAAGGAAGGCCCGCUCACUUGUGCUCUUCAGCCUACUCUUCGGGGUCUUCGUGUCUACCAGCUGGGUCAUCUAUGUGGUGGUGGCCCUCUACCUUCCCUGAAUCCCAGAACUUGCAGGCUAGGCUGUGCCCUUUCUGUGGACCCUGGUCCCCAUUGGAGUAGCCAGCUGUUGCUCACACAGGGCAAAGGGGAGGUGGGUUCAAAAGCCCUGUCCAUGAGGCCUUGGGUAGGAUCCUGAGGGACACAGGCCCACGCAGCCUGGAAGUCUUCCUGGGAUGUCAGCCUUCACCGUUACUCUUGGAGAACGCAGAAAACUGAAGACCUCACUGUCUUCAGAGUCUGUGGAAGGACAUGGCUACCUCCAGCCCUGCU